rnacentral:rRNA from 1 species
UACGUAGGGGGCUAGCGUUGUCCGGAAUCAUUGGGCGUAAAGCGCGUGUAGGCGGCUCGGUAAGUCCGCUGUGAAAGUCGGGGGCUCAACCCUCGGAUGCCGGUGGAUACUGUCGGGCUAGAGUACGGAAGAGGCGAGUGGGAUUCCUGGUGUAGCGGUGAAAUGCGCAGAUAUCAGGAGGAACACCGGUGGCGAAGGCGGUUCUCUGGGCCUGUACUGACGCUGAGGAGCGAAAGCGUGGGGAGCAAACAGG